rnacentral:rRNA from 2 species
GGUUAAGCGACUAAGCGUACACGGUGGAUGCCCUGGCAGUCAGAGGCGAUGAAGGACGUGCUAAUCUGCGAAAAGCGUCGGUAAGGUGAUAUGAACCGUUAUAACCGGCGAUGUCCGAAUGGGGAAACCCAGUGCAAUUCGUUGCACUAUCGUUAACUGAAUACAUAGGUUAACGAGGCGAACCGGGGGAACUGAAACAUCUAAGUACCCCGAGGAAAAGAAAUCAACCGAGAUUCCCCCAGUAGCGGCGAGCGAACGGGGAGCAGCCCAGAGUCUGAAUCAGCUUGUGUGUUAGUGGAACGGUCUGGAAAGUCCGACGGUACAGGGUGAUAGUCCCGUACACCAAAAUGCACAGGCUGUGAACUCGAAGAGUAGGGCGGGACACGUGGUAUCCUGUCUGAAUAUGGGGGGACCAUCCUCCAAGGCUAAAUACUCCUGACUGACCGAUAGUGAACCAGUACCGUGAGGGAAAGGCGAAAAGAACCCCGGCGAGGGGAGUGAAAAAGAACCUGAAACCGUGUACGUACAAGCAGUGGGAGCACCUUCGGGUGUGACUGCGUACCUUUUGUAUAAUGGGUCAGCGACUUAUAUUCUGUAGCAAGGUUAACCGUAUAGGGGAGCCGCAGGGAAACCGAGUCUUAACUGGGCGUUAAGUUGCAGGGUAUAGACCCGAAACCCGGUGAUCUAGCCAUGGGCAGGUUGAAGGUUGGGUAACACUAACUGGAGGACCGAACCGACUAAUGUUGAAAAAUUAGCGGAUGACUUGUGGCUGGGGGUGAAAGGCCAAUCAAACCGGGAGAUAGCUGGUUCUCCCCGAAAGCUAUUUAGGUAGCGCCUCGUGAACUCAUCUUCGGGGGUAGAGCACUGUUUCGGCUAGGGGGUCAUCCCGACUUACCAACCCGAUGCAAACUACGAAUACCGAAGAAUGUUAUCACGGGAGACACACGGCGGGUGCUAACGUCCGUCGUGAAGAGGGAAACAACCCAGACCGCCAGCUAAGGUCCCAAAGUCAUGGUUAAGUGGGAAACGAUGUGGGAAGGCACAGACAGCCAGGAUGUUGGCUUAGAAGCAGCCAUCAUUUAAAGAAAGCGUAAUAGCUCACUGGUCGAGUCGGCCUGCGCGGAAGAUGUAACGGGGCUAAACCAUGCACCGAAGCUGCGGCAGCGACACUAUGUGUUGUUGGGUAGGGGAGCGUUCUGUAAGCCUGCGAAGGUGUGCUGUGAGGCAUGCUGGAGGUAUCAGAAGUGCGAAUGCUGACAUAAGUAACGAUAAAGCGGGUGAAAAGCCCGCUCGCCGGAAGACCAAGGGUUCCUGUCCAACGUUAAUCGGGGCAGGGUGAGUCGACCCCUAAGGCGAGGCCGAAAGGCGUAGUCGAUGGGAAACAGGUUAAUAUUCCUGUACUUGGUGUUACUGCGAAGGGGGGACGGAGAAGGCUAUGUUAGCCGGGCGACGGUUGUCCCGGUUUAAGCAUGUAGGCUGAUUGUCCAGGCAAAUCCGGAUAAUCAAGGCUGAGGUGUGAUGACGAGGCACUACGGUGCUGAAGUAACAAAUGCCCUGCUUCCAGGAAAAGCCUCUAAGCAUCAGGUAACAUCAAAUCGUACCCCAAACCGACACAGGUGGUCAGGUAGAGAAUACCAAGGCGCUUGAGAGAACUCGGGUGAAGGAACUAGGCAAAAUGGUGCCGUAACUUCGGGAGAAGGCACGCUGGUGUGUAGGUGAAGUCCCUGCGGAUGGAGCUGAGACCAGUCGAAGAUACCAGCUGGCUGCAACUGUUUAUUAAAAACACAGCACUGUGCAAACACGAAAGUGGACGUAUACGGUGUGACGCCUGCCCGGUGCCGGAAGGUUAAUUGAUGGGGUUAUCCGUAAGGAGAAGCUCUUGAUCGAAGCCCCGGUAAACGGCGGCCGUAACUAUAACGGUCCUAAGGUAGCGAAAUUCCUUGUCGGGUAAGUUCCGACCUGCACGAAUGGCGUAAUGAUGGCCAGGCUGUCUCCACCCGAGACUCAGUGAAAUUGAACUCGCUGUGAAGAUGCAGUGUACCCGCGGCAAGACGGAAAGACCCCGUGAACCUUUACUAUAGCUUGACACUGAACAUUGAGCCUUGAUGUGUAGGAUAGGUGGGAGGCUUUGAAGCGUGGACGCCAGUCUGCGUGGAGCCAACCUUGAAAUACCACCCUUUAAUGUUUGAUGUUCUAACGUUGGCCCCUGACCGGGGUUGCGGACAGUGUCUGGUGGGUAGUUUGACUGGGGCGGUCUCCUCCCAAAGCGUAACGGAGGAGCACGAAGGUUAGCUAAUCCUGGUCGGACAUCAGGAGGUUAGUGCAAUGGCAUAAGCUAGCUUGACUGCGAGCGUGACGGCGCGAGCAGGUGCGAAAGCAGGUCAUAGUGAUCCGGUGGUUCUGAAUGGAAGGGCCAUCGCUCAACGGAUAAAAGGUACUCCGGGGAUAACAGGCUGAUACCGCCCAAGAGUUCAUAUCGACGGCGGUGUUUGGCACCUCGAUGUCGGCUCAUCACAUCCUGGGGCUGAAGUAGGUCCCAAGGGUAUGGCUGUUCGCCAUUUAAAGUGGUACGCGAGCUGGGUUUAGAACGUCGUGAGACAGUUCGGUCCCUAUCUGCCGUGGGCGCUGGAGAAUUGAGGGGGGCUGCUCCUAGUACGAGAGGACCGGAGUGGACGCAUCACUGGUGUUCGGGUUGUCAUGCCAAUGGCACUGCCCGGUAGCUAAAUGCGGAAGAGAUAAGUGCUGAAAGCAUCUAAGCACGAAACUUGCCCCGAGAUGAGUUCUCCCUGAGACUAUAAGUCUCCUGAAGGAACGUUGAAGACGACGACGUUGAUAGGCCGGGUGUGUAAGCGCAGCGAUGCGUUGAGCUAACCGGUACUAAUGAACCGUGAGGCUUAACCUU